rnacentral:rRNA from 1 species
GACGAACCGUGCGAAUGUUGUUCGGGUUCACUGGGCUUAAAGGGCGCGUAGGCGGGUGCUCAAGUCCGGGGUGAAAUCCUCCAGCUCAACUGGAGAAUAGCCUUGGAUACUGGGCACCUCGAGUGAGGUAGGGGCGGGUGGAACUUCCGGUGGAGCGGUGAAAUGCGUAGAUAUCGGAAGGAACGCCGGCGGCGAAAGCGGCGCACUGGACCUUUACUGACGCUGAGGCGCGAAAGCCAGGGGAGCAAACGGG